GAUGAACGCUGGCGGCGUGCCUAAUACAUGCAAGUCGAGCGAAUGGAUUAAGAGCUUGCUCUUAUGAAGUUAGCGGCGGACGGGUGAGUAACACGUGGGUAACCUGCCCAUAAGACUGGGAUAACUCCGGGAAACCGGGGCUAAUACCGGAUAACAUUUUGAACCGCAUGGUUCGAAAUUGAAAGGCGGCUUCGGCUGUCACUUAUGGAUGGACCCGCGUCGCAUUAGCUAGUUGGUGGGGUAACGGCUCACCAAGGCAACGAUGCGUAGCCGACCUGAGAGGGUGAUCGGCCACACUGGGACUGAGACACGGCCCAGACUCCUACGGGAGGCAGCAGUAGGGAACCUUCCGCAAUGGACGAAAGUCUGACGGAGCAACGCCGCGUGAGUGAUGAAGGCUUUCGGGUCGUAAAACUCUGUUGUUAGGGAAGAACAAGUGCUAGUUGAAUAAGCUGGCACCUUGACGGUACCUAACCAGAAAGCCACGGCUAACUACGUGCCAGCAGCCGCAGUAA
rnacentral:rRNA from 1 species